rnacentral:rRNA from 1 species
GCCCAAACGUGGAAGGGCAUCGGAAACUGGGAAACUUGAUGCAAAGAAGAAAGUGGAAUUCCUGUGUACGGUGAAAAGGGAAAGAUAUGAGGAAAACAAUGGCGAAACCACUUUCUGGUCUGUACUGACCUGAUGUGUCAAACGUGGGGGUCAAAAAGGAAAAGAAACCCUGGGAGUCCCGCGCAAACCAUGAGUGCUAAAUGGUAGGGGGUUUCCCCCCCUUAGUGCUGCCCUAAAGCAUUAAACACUCCGCCUGGGGAGUACCACCGCAAGGUUGAAACUCACAGGAAUUGACGGGGACCCCCACAAGCGGGGGAGCAUGUGGUUUAAUUCCAAGCAACCCCAAGAACCUUACCAAAUCUUGACGUCCUUUGACCACUCUAUAGAAAAAGACUUCCCCUUCGGGGGACAAAUUGACAGGGGGGGCAUGGUUGUCCUCCCCUCGUGCCUUGAAAUGUUGGUUUAAUUCCCCAACGAGCGCACCCCUUAAACUUAGUUCCCUCAUUAAGUUGGGCCCUCUAUGUUGACUGCCGGGGACAAACCGGAGGAAGGGGGGGGAUGACGUCAAAUCCUCAUGCCCCUUAUGAUUAGGGGCUCCCCACGUGGCUACAAGGGACAAUACAAAGG